AAAGUGGCGAACGGCUGAGUAACACGUGGGCAACCUGCCCUUUGCACUGGGAUAGCCUCGGGAAACCGAGGUUAAUACCGGAUACUCCAUAUUUGUCGCAUGGCGAAUAUGGGAAAGCUCCGGCGGCAAAGGAUGGGCCCGCGGCCUGUUAGCUAGUUGGUGGGGUAGUGGCCUACCGAGGCAAUGAUGGGUAGCCGGGUUGAGAGACCGACCGGCCAGAUUGGGACUGAGACACGGCCCAGACUCCUACGGGAGGCAGCAGCC
rnacentral:rRNA from 1 species